rnacentral:rRNA from 1 species
UACGAAGGGGGCUAGCGUUGCUCGGAAUCGCUGGGCGUAAAGGGUGCGUAGGCGGGUCUUUAAGUCAGGGGUGAAAUCCUGGAGCUCAACUCCAGAACUGCCUUUGAUACUGAGGAUCUUGAGUUCGGGAGAGGUGAGUGGAACUGCGAGUGUAGAGGUGAAAUUCGUAGAUAUUCGCAAGAACACCAGUGGCGAAGGCGGCGCACUGGCCCGAUACUGACGCUGAGGCACGAAAGCGUGGGGAGCAAACAGG